rnacentral:lncRNA from 1 species
AGCAACUCAAAAUCUCGAAAAAUGUUUCUGUGGUGUGAAUGCUGUUUCUCAAAAUAUUCUUAUGUUGAAAUUCUAACCUCUGAGGUUAUAUUAAGAAGUAGGGCCUUUGGGGAAGUGAUUAAAUCAUGAUAGUGGAGUCCUUGUGAAUGGGAUUUGUGCCCUAAUAAGAUAGUCCCAGACCUGGUGAGGUGGCCCUCAUCUGAAAUCUCAGCAGUUUGGGAGGCUGAAGGCCGGAGGAUCACCAGUUCAAAGCCAGCUUCAGCAACUUAGCCAGGCCCUAAGUAACUUAGAAAGACCUGUCUCAAAAUAAAGUUUUUUGAAAAAAGGUUGAGUACGUAGCUCAGUGGUUAAGCACUCCUGGGUUCAAUCAACAGUACCAAAAAAAAUACAACCCUGGUGUAACUUGCUCAGCCCUUUAAUCAGAGGAUGCCAUCUUUGAACCAGAUGACCCUCACCAGACAACCCACUAGCACCUUAAUCCUGGACUUCCCAGCCUCAACUGUGAGAAGUUUCUAUUGUUCAAAGUUACCCAGUCUUGGAUAUUUUGUUAUAGCAGCCCAAAUAGACUGACAUUAAUUACUUUAUAAACUUGGUGUUUUUCCCUCCAAAUGCUAAUGAUCAAACCUAGGGCCUCCUGCAUGCUAGGCAAGCAUUAUAUACUACUGAGCUCUAUCCUGCAACUCAGUAUUGUUUUUUUAUCACUGCUUCGAGAUGUGUACUAUACUACACAUUGCAAAUUUUAAGAAGAAAGACACAGACCAUCUUUCAAGAAACCAUGGAGUAGGGGAAGAGAAAGGAGUUGAGGGACUACCAAAGGAAUAUGGAAAUAUCUCUCAGUAUAUAACUGCUUGUUUUAACAGACAAAACAGUUUAAUAUGACAAUAUGUUGCAGUGCAAGAAUGUUGUAAAAUUUUGCACCGGAUGAAAAAAGAGCUGUAGGGGACCUGGAGAUAUCAAAGAAAGCUUUGUAGAGGCAAUAAAGGCCUGAGCCAAAUUUUGGAAUGAUAAAAACUCUUGCUAAAGUGCAUUUCAAAUAAGUAAACUACAUAUGCAAGACUACAGGUGAGUAAUAUGGCACAUUAGGAAACUUGAGUGUAGAGCUAGUGAGCAGAAGAAUAAAAGAUGUUAAAGCCUGAGGAGAAGGCAGAGGCCACAUAACAAAAGGCUUCAUUUGUCAUGGUAAGGAACUUGUGUUUUAUCCUAUAAUUAAUAUUAGCCAAAUGUGUGGGGCAUGCCUGGAAUCCCAGUGACUCUGGAGGCUGAGACAGGAGGAUCACAAGUUCAAAGCCAGCCUCAAUAAUUUAGAAAGGCUCUAAGCAACUUAGCAAGACUGUGUCUCAAAUUUUUAAAAAGAGAUGAAGAUGUGGCUCAGUGGUAAAGCCCCUCUGGGUUCAAUCCCGGUACCAAAAAUAAAUAAAGAAAAUUAUAUUAAUAUCAAGCAAGGGAAUUUGUUCAGCAACAAUAUAUAGAGGAUCAAUUUAGGAGGAGGUUAAAGAAAGCUAGAUAGACUGAUGCCUAGAAAUUUAGACUAUUGUGAUUCAAGUGAUAAAUGAAUGAGAAUACAAAUUCAAGCAAGUGCUGCAUGGAUGAAGAAUAGGAGACAAAUAAUCAUUUAUUAGAAUAAACAGGGUUUUCCCAGGCAAAUAGGAGAGGGUGUUGAGUGACAAGAAAGCUAAUCUGGCCCACAGAUAAGGCUGCUAGACAGAUGUCCUAUAUUUAAUGAUUACGUCUUGAAUCCUGUACUGUCAGGACACCCGCAAUGUAUUCAAAAAUUUUCUUCCAAUUAGUAAAAAAUCAGCAGUUAGAGCUAUUUUUCUGCCUCUGUAAUUGUCAUUUAAAUCACCCAAGUAGCAACACAAGCCGAAAUCACCUCUACAAAGUGAUCUGAGCAAUCCUUUAUGGUGAAAGAGAACUGAGAAUUGAAAGUACUUGUUUUCCAUCUUAAAGAAAGGAUAAGUUUUGGCCAAAGUUCCAAGUUGUAAACAAAUAAUUAUUUAUAAUUAGAUGUCCAAACAGCACACACGCUCCAAAACGAGGGCCAGCCUCAUUCCAGUGGACCUCCUUCUGAAAGUUAGGAAGUUAAUGCCAACCUCUAGCUUCUGAAAGACCAUCAUCAGUUUCAUGCUUCUGGUCAACAAUCAGCAAGGACCUCACUUCAGAAACCAUGUUCCUGAAAGGACACUAGUCAAUAGCCUAUUCUAGUGACCACAUUAAACAGUUGAAAAAUCUGUCUAUUCAUAAACGCUCCUGCUUCUAAAAAUCCACCAAUCCUGGACAAUGAACUUCAGGAACCUUGGAUAAGAUCAGCUUUGGCUUUCUUCAGGGAGACUGUUCUUGCAAGUGCAACUCUCCCUUGCAGGAACACGUGAAGUUCACCUUUUCUGCCUAUCAAGUUUAAUUUAUAGUUGAGUUUGCAAGUCUCAACCAUUUCAACAGUUCAACUUACUCUUAAUUUACUGUUAGCCUCAUGAAUGAGACUGUUAAAUUCAGUAUUUUAAAUUCUUGCAAUGAUUGCUAUAAUCUAUUUUAUAUUUUUUGGUAAGAACACUUAACUUGACAUCUACCCUAUUAUCUAUUUUUAUUUAUGUAUAUUUGGAUCCCAAAUUCAAGUGCAAAUUUUUUAUUAAUUUUAAAAACUUUGGGUUUCUGUUAAAUGAAGGGAAAAUUCUUUGAAGCUCUUCAAUAUGCAGUUGGUUAUUUAGAAUCAAAAACAAUGACUAGUCAGAUGUAUACUCCAGCAUACACUAAUAGCUAAGCUAAGAGGUAUAUGAUUUCCUCAACUUGUCCUGUAGAAAUGGAUAAUGUAACAAAUUUCCUGAUUUAAAAAAUUCGGAUGAAAAUAAAAUAAUCACAGCAGAAGUUGUAAUGACCUUUCACACUAUAUUUCAUCUCCUCAAUCUUUCCAGGACAAAUGACCAGCUGAACAUACCAAAGGUAUUCUCUGAUUUUGAAACUGCAAACAAAUUUUCAAGUGCC